GUUUCCAACAGGGGUGAACAGGACCUCUUUCAUCCCGAGGCUUGGCUGAGGCAAACAGCCAGUAUUCCUGACAUCCUGAGGUCUCUUGUCUGAGGUCCUGCAGUUGCUAGAUGAAACUCUGCUUUGAAAUGACUGCCAGGAGCAGGAAGCAUCUGAAUUUGAAGAAGAGAGACAAGUUCUGCUGGAGUCCCCUCCUCUUUGAAGAGGCUUUGGCAGUUCACUAUUGGAAUUCAAAGCAUGGCCCUGCUCCAUUCUUCUACAGGGGAACUAAACAGCGCACCAGUGAGACCAAAGGCCAAUUACUGCCCUGUAUAGUCCUGCUUUCAUCAUCCCUGGAGAACCCUCGUGUGCCGGGGCAUGAGGACUAUCCAUCUUCCUUCUUCCUGGGUAUCGCCUGCCUCCGUCAUGUGACCUGGCGAAUGCUCCAGCCCUUUCGGGAACUAGACGAGAAAUGAUCAAAUCCUAUAGGUGA